rnacentral:misc_RNA from 1 species
AAACUUUUGAACUAUGAAGUUGGUCCACAGGGAGACUCUUAUUUGGAUUGAGAGUUGAGAUUGAGAUGCGCAUAAAAUUUGAUUCUCAUGGGGUCACAAACCUUCUUCUACACUUCUAUGUCCAUAAACAUUGACCUACACUCUACGCUUUCUACCUCUACUUCCUCCUUCGUAUCUUGUCCUGUAUCAUGUUCUCCCAGAACCGACUAAAUGAAAUAAGGCCUUCAUCUCGAAGUCUUGCCGCUCGCCUCGCCUGUGACGUUGGUUUGCUAUGCAGUGAUUGACCAAAAUCUGGCCGCUUUCUCCCAUACUCUAUGAGGGCGAUCUGGGUUUGAAUAUAGGUUUGUUAGGUCUGCUGUCUGGGUUUGAAAUUUUGCCUCCCCUUCAUGAGCAGCAAUCUGGAAUUGCAUGUGUAGAGUAUUUCAUGUUUUUUUGUAUUUGUUUCAAAUUCAUGGUUAUUCAGCUACUGCAAUCCAAAGUCUUUCCCCUUCUGUUUUAAAUUCUAUAUGACUUUUCUUCUGUUAUUUGUAUUUGAUUCAGAGUUUCGAUUAUUGUUGUGUUAAUUUUCUUAAUUUUGAUUCUGUUUAUUUUGUAAUUAUUUGUGCUACUGAUGGCUUCUAUUUCAUUGCCAUUGAUGAUUUGAAUGUUGGCUUUUUUUCUUUUCAUCUGCUAUUGAUGAGAUUCCUCCACCUUCUAUUUUAGAAAGAAGAAGACGAUGGGAAGACAGGGAGAGGACAGAAACAAAGUAAGAACAGAGCAACAAACUAGGAAAGAGGAGGAAGAAACACUAAGCGGAAGUAUACGGCAUCGUUUUGAUCAAAGGGCACUGGCAAUCACGC